GUAGGUGGCAAGCGUUGUCCGGAAUUAUUGGGCGUAAAGCGCGCGCAGGUGGUUCUUUAAGUCUGAUGUGAAAGCCCCCGGCUCAACCGGGGAGGGUCAUUGGAAACUGGGGAACUUGAGUGCAGGAGAGGAAAGUGGAAUUCCACGUGUAGCGGUGAAAUGCGUAGAUAUGUGGAGGAACACCAGUGACGAAGGCGACUUUCUGGCCUGUAACUGACACUGAGGCGCGAAAGCGUGGGGAGCAAACAGGGAUUAGAUACCCUGGUAGUCCACGCCGUAAACGAUGAGUGCUAAGUGUUGGGGGGGUUUCCCGCCCCUCAGUGCUGCAGCUAACGCAUUAAGCACUCCGCCUGGGGAGUACGGUCGCAAGACUG
rnacentral:rRNA from 1 species